rnacentral:rRNA from 1 species
GACGAACGCUGGCGGCGUGCUUAACACAUGCAAGUCGAACGGAAAGGCCCUGCUUUUGUGGGGUGCUCGAGUGGCGAACGGGUGAGUAACACGUGAGUAACCUGCCCUUGACUUUGGGAUAACUUCAGGAAACUGGGGCUAAUACCGGAUAGGAGCUCCUGCUGCAUGGUGGGGGUUGGAAAGUUUCGGCGGUUGGGGAUGGACUCGCGGCUUAUCAGCUUGUUGGUGGGGUAGUGGCUUACCAAGGCUUUGACGGGUAGCCGGCCUGAGAGGGUGACCGGCCACAUUGGGACUGAGAUACGGCCCAGACGCCUACGGGAGGCAGCAGUGGUGAAUAGUGCACAAUGGGCGGAAGCCUGAUGCAGCAACGCCGCGUGCGGGAUGACGGCCUUCGGGUUGUAAACCGCUUUCGCCUGUGACGAAGCGUGUGUGACGGUAAUGGGUAAAGAAGCACCGGCUAACUACGUG